UACGAAGGGGGCUAGCGUUGUCCGGAAUCAUUGGGCGUAAAGAGCGUGUAGGCGGCCCGGUAAGUCCGCUGUGAAAGUCAAAGGCUCAACCUUUGAAUGUCAGCGGAUACUGCCGGGCUAGAGUCCGGAAGAGGCGAGUGGAAUUCCUGGUGUAGCGGUGGAAUGCGCAGAUAUCAGGAGGAACACCAACGGCGAAGGCAGCUCGCUAGGACGGUACUGACGCUGAGACGCGAAAGCGUGGGGAGCAAACAGG
rnacentral:rRNA from 1 species